UACGUAGGGUGCAAGCGUUAAUCGGAAUUACUGGGCGUAAAGCGUGCGCAGGCGGUUUUGUAAGUUUGUCGUGAAAUCCCCGGGCUCAACCUGGGAAUUGCGAUGAAGACUGCAAGGCUAGAAUCUGGCAGAGGGGGGUAGAAUUCCACGUGUGAGCAGUGAAAUGCGUAGAGAUGUGGAGGAACACCGAUGGCGAAGGCAGCCCCCUGGGUCGAAGAUUGACGCUCAUGCA
rnacentral:rRNA from 1 species